CAGGCCACACAUAUAGGGAUUAUAGAAAUGUACAUCCUUUUAUUUUCUGAAGGAGACAUUACGCUUUCUCAAUUACGAUGACAGGAAACUCUGCUGCUUUUGUUUUUUGUUUUUAUAAAGAUGAGAUCUCCAGUUACGUGGGGGCUUCGGAUGGUGAGGUUAUAGCUGCAAUGAUUUUUCAAAGUGUUGUGAGGUAGGUGACAUUGCAAGGGGAUCUCUUUAGACCAUAACCGGGUGCAU